GUGGAUUAGAUACCCGGGUAGUCCACGCCGUAAACGUUGGGAACUAGGUGUGGGUCUCAUUCCACGAGAUCUGUGCCGCAGCUAACGCAUUAAGUUCCCCGCCUGGGGAGUACGGCCGCAAGGCUAAAACUCAAAGGAAUUGACGGGGGCCCGCACAAGCGGCGGAGCAUGUGGAUUAAUUCGAUGCAACGCGAAGAACCUUACCAAGGCUUGACAUGUACCGGAAACAUCCAGAGAUGGGUGCCCCGCAAGGUCGGUACACAGGUGGUGCAUGGCCGUCGACAACU
rnacentral:rRNA from 1 species